GAGCAACAUCCUUACUCCUACGGGAGGCAGCAGUCGGGAAUAUUGCGCAAUGGAGGAAACUCUGACGCAGUGACGCCGCGUAUAGGAAGAAGGUUUUCGGAUUGUAAACUAUUGUCGUUAGGGAAGAUACAAGACAGUACCUAAGGAGGAAGCUCCGGCUAACUACGUGCCAGCAGCCGCGGUAAUACGUAGGGAGCAAGCGUUAUCCGGAUUUAUUGGGUGUAAAGGGUGCGUAGACGGGACAACAAGUUAGUUGUGAAAUCCCUCGGCUUAACUGAGGAACUGCAACUAAAACUAUUGUUCUUGAGUGUUGGAGAGGAAAGUGGAAUUCCUAGUGUAGCGGUGAAAUGCGUAGAUAUUAGGAGGAACACCGGUGGCGAAGGCGACUUUCUGGACAAUAACUGACGUUGAGGCACGAAAGUGUGGGGAGCAAACAGGAUUAGAUACCCUGGUAGUCCACACCGUAAACGAUGGAUACUAGGUGUAGGAAAUGAUUUCAUUUUCUGUGCCGUCGCAAACGCAAUAAGUAUCCCACCUGGGGAGUACGGCCGCAAGGUUGAAACUCAAAGGAAUUGACGGGGGCCCGCACAAGCAGUGGAGUAUGUGGUUUAAUUCGAAGCAACGCGAAGAACCUUACCAGGGCUUGACAUAUAGAUGAAUAACUAAGAGAUUAGUUAGUCCUUCGGGACAUCUAUACAGGUGGUGCAUGGUUGUCGUCAGCUCGUGUCGUGAGAUGUUAGGUUAAGUCCUGCAACGAGCGCAACCCCUGUGAUUAGUUGCCAACAGGUUAAGCUGGGAACUCUAAUCAGACUGCCGGUGAUAAAUCGGAGGAAGGUGGGGAUGACGUCAAAUCAUCAUGCCCUUUAUGUCCUGGGCUACACACGUACUACAAUGGCUGUAACAGAGAGAAGCAACACCGCGAGGUAGAGCGAAACUCCAAAAGCAGUCUCAGUUCGGAUUGAAGGCUGAAAUUCGCCUUCAUGAAGCCGGAAUUGCUAGUAAUGGCAGGUCAGCAUACUGCCGUGAAUACGUUCCCGGGCCUUGUACACACCGCCCGUCACACCAUGAGAGUUGGGAAUACCCGAAGCCUGUGAGCCAACUGUAAAGAGGCAGCAGUCGAAGGUAGAAUCAAUGAUUGGGGUGAAGUCGUAACAAGGUAGCCGUAUCAGAAGGUGCGGCUG
rnacentral:rRNA from 1 species